AACGAACGCUGGCGGCAUGCUUAACACAUGCAAGUCGAACGAGACCUUCGGGUCUAGGGGCGCACGGGGGCGUGAGGAGGGGGAACUUGCACUUAGGUUCGGAAUAACUGCCUGAGAGGGGUGCUAAUACCGGAUAAUGUAAUCGGACCAAAGAUUUAUCGCCGUUGGAUGGGCCCGCGUAGGAUUCGCUAGUUGGGAGGGUAAAAGCCUACCAAGGCGACGAUCCCUAGCUGGUCUGAGAAGAUGCUCAGCCACACUGGGACUGAGGCACAGCCCAGUCUCCUACGCAACGCUGCAGUAGGGUAUAUUAUGCAAGGGGCGAUGGCCUGGUACAGCAAUGCCCCGUAUGAGGUGAAUGCCUUUGUGUUGUAAAGCUCUUUUACCCGAAAUGAUAAUGACAGUACCGGGUGAAUAAGCUCCGGCUAACUCCGUG
rnacentral:rRNA from 1 species